rnacentral:rRNA from 1 species
ACGCGAGGAACCUUACCAGGUCUUGACAUCCUCUGACACUCCUAGAGAUAGGACGUUCCCCUUCGGGGGACAGAGUGACAGGUGGUGCAUGGUUGUCGUCAGCUCGUGUCGUGAGAUGUUGGGUUAAGUCCCGCAACGAGCGCAACCCUUGAUCUUAGUUGCCAGCAUUAAGUUGGGCACUCUAAGGUGACUGCCGGUGACAAACCGGAGGAAGGUGGGGAUGACGUCAAAUCAUCAUGCCCCUUAUGACCUGGGCUACACACGUGCUACAAUGGAUGGUACAAAGGGCUGCAAGACCGCGAGGUCAAGCCAAUCCCAUAAAACCAUUCUCAGUUCGGAUUGCAGGCUGCAACUCGCCUGCAUGAAGCCGGAAUCGCUAGUAAUCGCGGAUCAGCAUGCCGCGGUGAAUACGUUCCCGGGCCUUGCACACACCGCCCGU